rnacentral:lncRNA from 10 species
AGGAAACUUCUGCCAUAUUCCCUUUUGCCUGGGGUAAAGGAUGAUGCUGCUGAUAAGAAGUUGUAUCUGUGUGCGUGACCACAGCCCACUUUCUCACCGUGAGCUGGGGAGCCCAGGGUGUUCCCCCUGAGGACUCCCAGUCAUGACAGUUCUAUUAAACUUUGGGCUUGUCUCCCUAAAAGCUCCCUGGCAUGGGGUAGGUGGCCCUGCUGUGCUGAAUAAGACCGCCUGCCUAUGGGAGGACAGUGUAGAAGACACACGCCUCAUGGGACCCUGGUGUGGGCAUUGCUGUAGGGGGUGGAUCUAGCCCCCUCUGACUGCAGAGGGGUCUGUGUCCAGUCAACAUCAUGGCCAAGCUUUUCUAGGACUGGAAAUUAGGAAGAGACUGAGACAAUGUCAAGAUUAAUGACUGGGGACCAGGCCCUCUUACUGUCCUGCAGGACAGCAGUGGACCUAAGGUAGAGCUGACCCCAAACUCAGGUGUGUACAUCACGCAACUGCAGUCUGCAGAGCUGCCACAGAUGUCACCUGAAAAGCCCAGGCUGAUGACACAAUGGAUGCUCCACUACUUCUCCUGGGGGUCUGCAGCCUGUUCUUUCACUAUUGGGCAACACAUUCUUGCUGACACUGCCACCAUGAAAAGCCGUUUGCCUGCUCACUGGAGGGGUCAGUGCUGGUCUAAGGUCCUCUAGGAAAGGUCAGUGUGUCAGGGGCCUGGUGCACGAGAGGAACUGAGAACCCUGUUCACCCCUUACAGGCAGGGGAAGAAGCAGAAGCAACAGCCAUUUGAGGGUUGACUGGCUCUAAGGAAAAGCUGUUUGCUGGCAGACACAGGUGGCUGGUGACAAAGGGAACAGAGCAGGGGAAUGGAUAGCUCAAAACGAGCCUCGCCACUCCUGAACAGAACAGCAAUCCCAGCUGUGUCCUUUCGAGGGUGAGUGAAAGCACAUGCUGUCCUUUACAUGCUUGAGGCGGACUUGCCUGUCUCUUCAGGCCGGAUGCUCUUCAGGGCCCUGUGGGGCUUAAACACAUGUACUGAGCUAGCUCCAAUCUUAAUCUGCACAACAUCGCAACCCCUGAGUUCCUAUUAGUUCUGCAAAACAAAGCAAAACAAAUCCCCACCAAAAUUUCAGAUUUGUAGCAUCUGCUAAAACCAAAAGGCACAAUCAACUUCUUGUCCUCUCUGGGUUACUGGGCAGGCGAUAUAGAAGGAACCAGUAUCUGUGGCCAGAGUCCUCUAUCGGGUGCAGCUGGGCUCCAGGCCUCUCUAGCUGCCAAGCCCUCCCAGGAACCUGCCUCGCCCUUCACUUUGGGAAGGGACCUUGGCCCUUGGGGAAAUGCAUUGUUGCCAGACUGUAGCCUUCUGGAGGGGACUGAGCCAAGGCCCCAUUGGCUCUCCUCUCUAAGCUUCUUAUUAAUGGGCUCUGAGGCCAAUGCCUUCCUCCAGGGGUUGGGGAGGUGGGUGGAAGAGCUAAGUUGCUGGCUGAGGUCACUGCUGUAACUUGGCUCUUCGUAUCUGCUUUGUGUACAGGCAAAACUGGCUUACAGAAGAAAAAGGCAGGAACACCUGCAUUGGGCCCUGGCCCUUGGAGGUGCUCUGGGGGCUCGUGCCAGUGUCAUGAGGUAUAUGUGGCCGCGGCCCCUUUUGGGCAUGUGGCUUGGGUUUGCCGAGGGUCAGGAGGGCAAGGUCCUACCUUGGUCCCAGUGUGGAUCGCUCUGAGAGACCACAGCUCCCUCCUCUGGAGUCCCCUCUCCGAGCUCUCCAAGGGAAAAGACAAAGGAAGCCGAACUGCCAAGUUGAAGAUUUUGCCUCAGGCAACUAAAUU